GAUCUGGUGGUCUAGUGGUUAUAGUGUCCGCCUCGAAUGCAGGAGGUCGCGGGUUCUAUCCUCGGCCGAGUCA